GUGCACCAGUCGCGAAUCCUUCGCAAUGCGGGAAACCGCGACGAGGGGACUCCCAGUGCCUACGCUCAGCGUAGGCUGUUCCCGAGCCUAGAAAGCUCGGGGAGUAAGGGCUGGGUAAGACGGGUGCCAGCCGCCGCGGUAAUACCCGCAGCCCGAGUGGUGGCCACUAUUAUUGGGCCUAAAGCGUCCGUAGCCGGCCCGGUAAAUGCCUGGGUAAAUCGUGAGGCCUAACCUCACGAAUUCCGGGUAGACUGCCGGGCUAGGGACCGGAGGAGGGAGAGGGUGCUCCAGGGGUAGGGGUGAAAUCCUGUAAUCCCUGGAGGACCACCGGUGGCGAAGGCGCUCUCCUAGGACGGGUCCGACGGUGAGGGACGAAAACCAGGGGAGCGAACCGGAUUAGAUACCCCGGUAGU
rnacentral:rRNA from 1 species